AACGAACGCUGGCGGCAGGCCUAACACAUGCAAGUCGAGCGCCCUUUCGGGGGAGCGGCGGGCGGGUGAGUAUCGCGUGGGAAUAUGCCCUUCUCUACGGAAUAGCCUCGGGACACUGAGAGUACUACCGUAUACGCCCUGUGGGGGAAAGAUUUAUCGGGGAAGGAUUAGCCCGCGUCGGAUUAGGUCGUUGGUGGGGUAAUGGCCUACCAUGCCGACGAUCCAUAGCUGGGUUGAGAGGAUGAUCAGCCACACUGGGACUGAGACGCGGCCCAGACUCCUACGGGAGGCAGGAGUGGGGGAUCGUAGACAAUGGGGGCAACCCUGAUCGAGCCAUGCCGGGUGAGUGAUGAAGGCCUUAGGGUAGUAAAGCUCUUUCAGCUGGGAAGAUAAUGACGGUACCAGCAGAAGAAGCCCCGGCUAACUCCGUG
rnacentral:rRNA from 1 species